rnacentral:rRNA from 1 species
GACGACUCCUUUCGAGGUGUAACGUGCUGUCGACCGGGACGACAGGGGCGAGGGUGAACAGCUUUCGCGCAUGAGGGUAGCGGUGGAGGAAGCCCCGGUUAACUCCGUGGCAGCAGCCGCGGUAGGACGGAGGGGGCGAGCGUAGUUCGGGACUCACUGGGCGUAAAGCGCGCGUAGGCGGUGCAGUAAGUGGUGCGUGAAAGCCCUCGGCUUAACCGGGGACGGGCGUGCCAAACUGUUGGACUGGAGUGCCGGAGGGGAAGGCGGAAUUCCUGGUGGAGCGGCGAAAUGCGUAGAGAUCAGGAAGAAGGUCAGUGGCUAAUGCGGGCUCCUGGACGGACACUGACGUCUGAGGUGCGACUGCGUGGGGAGCGAACGGGAUUAGAUACCCCGGUAAGUCCACGCCGUAAACGAUGGGUAAUAGGAGUGGGGCUUGCGAAGAGGCCCGUGCCGGAGUUAACGCAGCAAGUACCCCGCCGGGGGAGUACAGUCGACAACGGCUGAAACUCGAAGGAAUUAGAACGGGGGCCCAGCACAAGCGGUGGAGCAUCUGGGUUAAUUCGACGCAACGCGCAGAACCUUACCCAGGUUAGACAUGCACCGGCACAGCGAGGAGAGUCGC